CAGGCCCUGUGCCUCUGAUCAGAGCCUCACUUGGGCACAAAGUGAAAUCCCCAAGGCUCCUGUGGAGAAGGCUCGGUUCCCAGGACAGAGGUGUUCCCAGACAGGGCUCUGGAAGCAUGCUCUCGUGCAGUAGGAUUCCAUUUGGAUGAAUCUGCUGACGGAUGCUUUGUUACUGUUUCAUCUCUGAGGCAGAGUACUCAACACCCACAACCUGAAGAGGGAGAGGUUUAUUUGGGCUCAGAGAAGAGUCUGCUGAGGAAACCUGCUCACAUCAUGGCAAUCAGGAAGCAGAGAGGAGGGAGGAGCCAGCGGGAAAUCGCCCUUCCACUCAAGGGUUUCAGGAGUCCACAAAUGUCUUCUUGAUAUCCAUUGGAAGAAGCUAAAUGAAGACAACCCAGAUUGUUUUCCUAGAUGAUAUAUGAAAAUUUUCAUACUCACAAAAGGCCAUCUGACAGAAGCAAAGCUGUGUCCUGUAAAUCUCCUAUUUCCCAAGUCACCACACAUGUGCAACUUCUGCUCUGCUGUCCAGUCCUGUGUCACUGAGGAGUAAAGAAAUAAUACUUUGUUCUUCAGAAAUGAAGUAAGUUUAAGAGUGCUCCCUAACAAUGGAAAUUAGCCUCUUGAGAACUAGGUCAAUCAGAUGUGCACAGUGAUAAAGAGGCUGAGAUAAAUUUGA